rnacentral:rRNA from 1 species
GUGGGGAAUUUUGGACAAUGGGCGCAAGCCUGAUCCAGCAAUGCCGCGUGUGUGAAGAAGGCCUUCGGGUUGUAAAGCACUUUUGUCCGGAAAGAAAUCUCCUGGGUUAAUACCUCGGGGGGAUGACGGUACCGGAAGAAUAAGCACCGGCUAACUACGUGCCAGCAGCCGCGGUAAUACGAGGGGUCCUAGCGUUGUUCGGAAUCAUUGGGCGUAAAGGGUGUGUAGGUGGCCAUGUAAGUCAGGUGUGAAAGCCCCGGGCUCAACCCGGGAAGUGCACUUGUGACUGCAAGGCUAGAGUGUGUCAGAGGGAGGUGGAAUUCCGCGUGUAGCAGUGAAAUGCGUAGAGAUGCGGAGGAACACCGAUGGCGAAGGCAGCCUCCUGGGAUAACACUGACGCUCAGGCACGAAAGCGUGGGGAGCAAACAGGAUUAGAUACCCUGGUAGUCC